rnacentral:rRNA from 1 species
UCAUGGCUCAGGAUGAACGCUGGCGGCGUGCUUAACACAUGCAAGUCGAACGGGCUUAGAUCGGAAGCUUGCUUUUGAUUUAAGUUAGUGGCGGACGGGUGAGUAACGCGUGGGUAACCUACCCUGUGCAGGGGGAUAGCAGCUGGAAACGGCUGAUAAAACCGCAUAACACGGCGAUGCCGCAUGGCAAUGCCGUCAAAUAUUUAUAGGCACAGGAUGGGCCCGCGUCUGAUUAGCUAGUUGGCGGGGCAACGGCCCACCAAGGCGACGAUCAGUAGCCGGCCUGAGAGGGUGAACGGCCACAUUGGGACUGAGACACGGCCCAAACUCCUACGGGAGGCAGCAGUGGGGAAUAUUGGACAAUGGGGGAAACCCUGAUCCAGCGACGCCGCGUGAGUGAAGAAGUAUUUCGGUAUGUAAAGCUCUAUCAGCAGGGAAGAUGAUGACGGUACCUGACUAAGAAGCACCGGCUAAAUACGUGCCAGCAGCCGCGGUAAUACGUAUGGUGCAAGCGUUAUCCGGAUUUACUGGGUGUAAAGGGAGCGUAGGCGGCCGUGCAAGUCAGGUGUGAAAUCCCGGGGCUCAACCCCGGUACUGCACUUGAAACUGCGUGGCUGGAGUACAGGAGAGGCAGGCGGAAUUCCUAGUGUAGCGGUGAAAUGCGUAGAUAUUAGGAAGAACACCGGUGGCGAAGGCGGCCU